CCCACCCAAACCCGCGCGCCUCCGCGUGUAAAGCAGUCCAGCUGUCCUCUCCUCUCCUCCUCGCUGACUGAUACAGGCGGAUGACCCGCAGGAGUUUGUCAAGAUAGUUCACACUAGGACUCGGACACUAAAAGUCACGCCGGUCUGAAUAUAUAUAAUCUGAAGAUCAAGUAACAAAAUCUGAAGAUAAUAAAUACGGUCGCAGAAGCUCAUAGUGUGGAAAUAUUGAAGCCCGAAAUAAGGUCAGUGUGUGUAAGUCUGUGUAUGUCAGUGAUGUUCUCCUGCCGCUCUCUCCUGCUGCUGCUACUCAGUGUCUGCAGCCUCACUGCUCCCUCAAUGGCUCUGCCCUUUGAGCAGAGAGGAUUCUGGGACUUUGCAAUGGACGGAGAAGCAGGAGAUUCGACAACAGUAAUGAUGAGAGAUGAAGAGGGUUCAGCUUCGGAGGAACUGCCACCAGAUGUGUUUAUAUGUCCCUUUGGAUGCCAUUGUCAAGUCAACAUAGUGCAAUGUUCAGACCUAAGUUUAAUCGCAGUGCCCAAGGAGAUUCCCAGAGACACCAAACUCCUGGACCUACAGAACAACUGCAUCACAGAACUGAAGGAGAACGACUUCAAAGGGCUCACAAACCUCUACGCCCUGUCACUGGUCAACAACAAGAUCUCCAAAGUCCACCCACGAGUCUUCACACCCCUCCGACAUCUGAAAAAGCUUUAUUUUUCCCAUAACCUCCUGACAGUGGUACCCAAAAACCUUCCCCCAUCUCUGGUGGAGCUGCGCAUUCAUGACAACCGUAUUAAGAAGGUUGCAGAAGGAACGUUUUCUGGUCUGGGCAGCAUGAACUGCAUUGAGAUGGGCGGAAACCCUAUUCAGAACAGUGGCUUUGAGCCUGGCGCUUUUAAAGGCCUGAAACUCAACUACCUGCGCGUCUCUGAGGCCAAACUCACUGGAAUACCGAAAGAUCUCCCUGACAGUCUUCAUGAGCUCCACUUGGACAACAACCAGAUCCAAGCCAUUGAACUGGAGGACUUGAGACGCUACAAACACCUGUACAGAUUGGGUCUGGGUUUCAACCAGAUCCGCAUGAUUGAGAAUGGCAGCCUAUCAUACGUCUCUAAUCUGAGGGAGUUGCAUUUGGAAAACAACCGUCUGACCCGCGUCCCGAAGGGCCUGCCAGACAUGAAGUACCUGCAGGUGGCUUACCUUCAUUCCAACAACAUCAGUCAAGUGGAUGUCAAUGACUUCUGCCCUCAAGGUUUUGGCAUGAAAAGGAACUUCUACCAUGGCAUCAGCCUCUACGGAAACCCGGUGAACUAUUGGGAAGUGCAGCCUGCCACCUUCCGCUGUGUUGCUGACCGACUGGCCAUUCAGUUUGGAAACUAUAAAAAAUAGAGGAUGAUUGAUUUGUGAAUAAAUAUUAAUGCUGGAAUUGAAAUAAAUCAGACACAAAUUAGUAUGAGGACCAAAACCGUGUCAACAAAGAGAUUUCACAUAGUUUUUACCAAGGCUUUUCUCUUGAACUAGUAUGUAUAGUUCCCUCAGAAUUAAAACUUUGUCAUCAUUUACUCAUUCGCUUGAACACAAUGAAGAUAUUUAGAAAAAUGUUGGAAGCCAGUAACAACUGACUUCCAUUCUAUUUGUUUUCCUGCUAUAGAAGUCAGUGGUUACUAGUUUCUAUAAUUCAAAAUAUCAUCUUUUGUGUCUAACAGAAAAGAGAAACUCAUACAUUUUUGGAACCAUUUGAGGGAGAUUAAAUAAUGAGUAAAUUAAAUUUAAUCCUGGGUAUAGCUUUCACACUGUAUAAUUUGAAACCCCCAGGUUAACAUCCUUGCAGGCAUACAGUAUUAGCAUUCACUGACUGGAUGAAUGGAACAUGCAAUUCGCUUACAUGAAGGGAGAGAAAUAUUCCUCUUGUGAUUUACAAUCAGACUUGGCACUGCUUUUUAUCCUGGAUUAUGAGACGGUGCAGCAUCAGCGCCUCUUUUGUGCUGUUAACCCUGCAUUGCGGAGCUUUAAAACAAUGCAGUAUUAAAAUGUUUUGUCUCGAAACAACCGGCAGCCAAACAUGUGUCUCAUUUAACAGUGAUUUGGACAAUAUACAGUAUAUUCAGCUUUUGUGCUUAAUUUUUCCAGUCAAAGAGUACCGCAAAUAUGGAGGCCAAAAGAUUUGCAAGUGUACUUAUUUGAAAAUAAAGAGACCAACAGUUUAAUUAAUCUUUUCUAUGACACGAAACACUAUAUAUAUAUAUUAGAAAAUAAAUGGUAUUUUGACAAACCAUUGACUGAAAGGUCCUUUGGGAAACCAAUGAUGACAUUGUUGCAUAAAUCAACUUCAUUCAUUCAUUUUUUUAAAGCUUUGUCCCUGAUUUACCAGGGGUCGCCACAGUGGAAAGAACCACAAAACCUAACUUUAAGAAUAUUUUUGAGAAGUAUUAUUUUCAGGACAGUGCAGUUUGAAUCGUCAUAUAAAUAAUCGGGAUUUAAUAUUAUCUUAAGGUUUAUUAUAACAGUGUGAAAAGUGAAGCAAGAUAAAUAAGUUUUUUCUUGACCCGGGGUUUACAUAUAUCCAGGGUUAACUAGUUCAAGUGUAAAAAGCCUUAAUGUGGGAUUGAGAGUGCAAAAGUGAUGCUAGGACUAAUCCAUUGCAGAGUUUAAUAAUUUCAGGUAAAAAGCAGUGCUCACCUGCUUCUAAAUUACUUGUGAAAUGUUUAUUUACCAAGGGUUUAAAGUAUGGUGAUUAGAAUGACAAUAAACCGAUGCUAAGCACAGUGUGAAAAGCAUUGUGUACCUUUAGAAUUUUGUAUUUUUAAGGCUACAAAAAAAAAAAAAAAAAAAA